AACAGUACUGAAAUCUGUGGAUGAAAUUGUCCAGGGAUAAGACAAUGAGAGGAAAGAGUAAAGUCACGAGAGGAAAGGCCUCUGUAACCUGCAGACAGCUGGAGAGAGAAGAUUCUGAAAGAAUUUAUCUUGAAAACCCUUUGCAAGUUGCUGAUGAAGUGUUAAACCUUCAAGAUUAUGUGUUUAAUGUGUUUUCUUAUGAAAGCCAAAGGAUUAAAACUUAAGGCUAUCUUGGAUCACCUAAAUGUGAAAAGAAAAAAGCCUGUAAGAAUAUGGGCUGCAAGAACAUCACCCAGAAGAAUAAGGCCUAUAAGAACCUUGUCACAUGCCUGUCCCAUCUUCAUACAUUUUGCCACUGAAAUAAAUUCACUGAGAACUGAGAUA
rnacentral:lncRNA from 1 species